AGAUCAAAAACUAUACGGAGCAUUUGGUGAGGUACCAUUUAUGUGAGGCAGUCCCAAAUGUUUGGCACAUUUAUGGGAAGCAUCCUGAUGAAGGAUUUACAGUGGUUUCUUCUAACUGGGAUCACUCCUAGGUCUAGUACUAAUAAAGAGAAGAAGAUCGGAGCAGCUUUGACAUGAAUGGAUCCAUCUGGCCUGGUCUCCAUACAAGUUUCCUAUGAGUUUGGUGAGUGUGGAUCCCCAUGGAUCAUAAUCCACCUGGGAAAUCAGAUGGAGUCUGACUUCUCAUCUUGCAUCAAUGUGACUGGUAGGGAUGGGUCCAUGCUCUGGAGCUGGACUCUGUGGGUUUGAAUCCUGGCUCCUCUGUUUCUGCCCUGAGAGAACUUGGCUAAGUUCCCUUACUUCUCUGUGCCCCAGAGUGCUUAUCUCUAAAAUGAAUUAUAAUGUACUGUAAAUGGGAAAAUUAAUAUAGUGUGCCUAAUAGCAGUGAGCAUUCAGCAAGUAUUAGCUGUGUGUGUGGCUGUAACAGCCAAGGACCGGCUGGAGGAAUGCGGUGACUCUACAGCAGUGCACCUCUGAGUCCUAGUGAGACAAGCGACUGUGGUCCAGGUCUGGAAGGAGGCUGGGCAGCGGCUUUUCUCAUCUCUACAGUUGGGAACUAGCACUCAUCCUUCUCAGGAAGAGGGAGAGAGUGGACUGAAUAUUUCUCACAAAGCAAUGACUGCCUCAUUAAAAAAAAAAGUAAUCAUAUAAGAAAUAUGUGAAGAUAUUGUGAAAAAAUCAAAUAAAACAAGUAAAAAGUAUCUUUAUAUUCCCCUUCCCUUCCCACUGCUCUCUUCAGAGGUAACCACUAUUCACAGUCUGGGAUGUGCCCUUCCGGACUUUGUGGAUGUGUAUGGGUGUAUGGCAUACGUAAUUUUGGUUACUGGGUUGUUAACUGAAAUAAAAUCAUUCUACAUA
ensembl:lncRNA novel transcript